rnacentral:rRNA from 1 species
AGUGAACGCUGGCGGUAGGCCUAACACAUGCAAGUCGAACGGCCGCACAGUAAGAGCUUUCUCUUACGGGUGGCGAGUGGCGGACGGGUGAGGCAUACAUCGCAAUCUACUUUUUCUUGGGUGAUAACGUAGGGCCACUUACGCUAAUACCUCAUACGUCCUACGGGUUAAAUCAGGGGUUCUUCGCACCUUUCGCGUUUCUAUUAGCCGAUUUCGGAUUAGCUAGUUUGCGUGGUAAAGGCCCACCAAGGCGACGAUCCGUAGCUUGUCUGAGAGGAUGAUCAGCCACACUGGAACUGAGACACGGUCCAGACUCCUACGGGAGGCAGCAGUGGGGAAUAUUGGACAAUGGGCGAAAGCCUGACGGAGCAAUACCGCGUGAGUGAAGAAGGACUUCGGGUUGUAAAGCCCUUUUGUUGGGAAAGAAAAGAAGCAGGAGAAAACAUCGAUGUUCUGACGGUACCCAAAGAAAAAGCACCGGCUAACUUCGUG